UACGUAGGUGGCAAGCGUUGUCCGGAUUUACUGGGCGUAAAGGGCGUGCAGGCGGUCUGUUAAGUUCAGGGUGAAAGCUCCCGGCUCAACUGGGAGAGGUCCUUGGAUACUGGCAGACUUGAGGGAGGUAGAGGAGAGUGGAAUUCCCGGUGUAGUGGUGAUAUGCGUAGAUAUCUGGAGGAACACCGGUGGCGAAGGCGGCAUCCUGGACCAACACUGACACUGAGGAGCGAAAGCCAGGGGAGCAAACGGG
rnacentral:rRNA from 1 species